UGGCAAGCCUCCAGCAUGCCUGAGUCUGAAGUGACCCUGUAUUUCCUUCAGUGCUUGCAAGAAAAGUGUUGAAAUAGUUUGAGGACUUGCUCUGGACCCAUCUCCAGAGUGAGGUUAUGGACAUUUCUUACAGAG
rnacentral:snoRNA from 1 species